rnacentral:rRNA from 1 species
UUGCAUGUGCACGCCUUCGUUAUCUUUAUAUCUCCACCUGUGCACCUUUUGUAGACUAGGGAAGAAAAAAUCUGUAACGGAAAUUUGUAAGGAUAAGCCUUCAUUGGUUUUGAAAAAGCAUUUUUUCUUGGUUUUACUAUUUCCUACGUCUAUGUUUGUUUAUAUACCCCAAUAUAUGUAACCGAAUGUUUAAUAAAUGGGCCUUUGCGCCUAUAAACAAAAAUUAUACAACUUUCAGCAACGGAUCUCUUGGCUCUCGCAUCGAUGAAGAACGCAGCGAAAUGCGAUAAGUAAUGUGAAUUGCAGAAUUCAGUGAAUCAUCGAAUCUUUGAACGCACCUUGCGCUCCUUGGUAUUCCGAGGAGCAUGCCUGUUUGAGUGUCAUUUAAUUCUCAACCUUACGAAUUUAUUUUUAUUCGAAAGGCUUGGAUGUGAGGGUUUUUGCUGGCUUUAUUUUAAAGUCAACUCCCUUGAAAUGCAUUAGCAAGUGAUCAGACUUUGUCUAUUGGUGUGAUAACUAUCUACGCCAUUGGAUUGUCUUGUAUUUCACUGCUUCCAAUUUAAAGUUGUCUUUCGACAAUUCUAUUUGACCAUUUGACCUCAAAUCAGGUAGGACUACCCGCUGAACUUAAGCAUAUCAAUAAGCGGAGGAAAAGAAACUAAC